UGAGUAGCUGGAAUUACAAGUAUGCACCAUCACACCUGGCUUUCUCAUUCAUCUUUGAAGGGUUUCUCUGCUAGGCAUAAAAUCAUUGAUUGUCGGGGGGUUUGUUUUUUUCUUUUUUUUUUCCUUCAGCAUUUUUAAUAUAUUGUCCUUCUGCCUUCAGGGCACCAUAGUCCCUGGUGAGAGAUUAGUUGUUAAAUCUCAUCAGCUUCCCCACGUAUGAGUUGCUUCUGUUUUGUUAUUUCCAAAUUUCUGGCUGCAGCAGGCCUAGUGUAGACAGACGGUGCCUGGUGGAAGUGGCACGGCCCAAGUCUGCGGUUCUCCGCCCCUCUCCGUGGGCACCGCCUCUCGCAGACUGAGUGUGGCUCAGGUCAGCGAUGGACUUGUGAACAGCGCCCGGAAGACUGGCUUCCGUAUCUUUUUUCUUUUGUUUUAUUUUUGAUUGCCCAUGUGUAAAACUGUCCCAAUCUUUCCUAGCUUUUAAUUAGCCAAAAUGCUUCAACAGCUUUGAGUUUGUGAUCUCUUCUAGCCCAAGGGUCACAACGGGAUUUGGCAUGAGACAGUGACUUUAAGAGUCCUUUAUAAAUAGAGUUUGUUUGCAUUAACUAAAAAAAAAUUCAUUCUGGCUUUGAUUUUCGGCGAUUUGUUUCUUGGCUGAGUAACAUUUUUUAUGAAAUAAGCAACAAAACGCAGGACAUCAGAACGACUGUUGAAGAAAUGAAACAAUCAAGAUGCCCACAUUAAACCGCUGGAAAUCGGACAAUAAAGAUGGAGAAGACAUAGCAGUUUUAAUAAACUGAAACCAAGUGACAACACACACAGUUCCGUUUCUCCGUGCUCGGGCCUGAGCGUGAAGCCUGAACACUCACAGCAGUUUGAGGAAGGAGCGUCUAGGUGUGGCUCUGCUUCCCAUUUUGUACAGUGCGCUGCUGUCCGAGAUCUACAGACCAGAUUCUCUUCGUUUUCCUGCCCUCCUCAGACUUGAUAAUCGCUUCAAGUUCGCCGAUUCCUUUUCCUACUUAAACCUGCUGUCGCACCUCCCCAGUAACACUCCACUCCAGUUCUGAGGUUUGAACUCAGGCAUGGCACCACUGAGCUA